rnacentral:rRNA from 1 species
UGCCAGCAGCCGCGGUAAUACAGAGGGUGCGAGCGUUAAUCGGAAUUACUGGGCGUAAAGGGUUCGUAGGUGGUUAAAUAAGUCAGAUGUGAAAUCCCAGGGCUCAACCUUGGAACUGCAUUUGAAACUGUUUAACUAGAGUGUUGUAGAGGAUAGAGGAAUUUCUGGUGUAGCGGUGAAAUGCGUAGAUAUCAGAAGGAACAUCGAUGGCGAAGGCAUCUAUCUGGCCAUACACUGACACUGAGGGACGAAAGCGUGGGUAGCGAACAGGAUUAGAUA